rnacentral:rRNA from 1 species
UAAGGUGGUUAUUGCGUCGGGGCUCACCUCUUCCCAUUCCGAACAGAGAAGUUAAGUCCGACUGCGCAGAUGGUACUGCAGUUAUGUGGGAGAGUAUGUCGCCGCCUUUU